UUCUUGACCUCAGAUCAGGCAAGGCUACCCGCUGAAUUUAAGCAUAUUAAUAAGCGGAGGAAAAGAAACUAACAAGGAUUCCCUCAGUAACAGCGAGUGAAGCGGGAACAGCUCAAAUUUGAAAUCUCCGGCGCUUGCGUCGGCGAGUUGUAGUUGCGAGAAGCACUUUCUAGGCGGAUCGGUGGUGCCUAAGUCGCUUGGAACAGUACGUCAUAGAGGGUGACAACCCCGUCCGUGGCACGACCGGCCGCUCACGA
rnacentral:rRNA from 1 species